CCUACGGGAGGCAGCAGUAGGGAAUCUUCCACAAUGGACGAAAGCCUGAUGGAGCCACGCCGCGUGCGUGAAGAAGGUCUUCUGAUCUUAAAACCCUUUUUUUACAGAAGUAAUUUCGUGUGAGUAACUGUUCACGUUUCUACGGUAUCUAACCAGAACGCCACGGCUAACUACGUGCCAGCAGCCACGCUAAUACGUAGGUGCCAAGCGUUAUCCGGAUUUAUUGGGCUUAAAGGGAACGCAUGCGGUCUGUUAAGUCUGAUGUGAAAGCCUUCGGAUUAACCGGUGUAGUGCAUUGGAAACUGGGAGACGAGAGAGUAGAAGCGGAGAGUGGAACGUAAUGUGUAGCGGUGAAAUGCGUAGAGAUAUGGAAGAACACCAGUGGCGAAAGCGGCUCUC
rnacentral:rRNA from 1 species